CAGGGUUAAGGGAGCACAGGCUCUGAUGUCAGACCAUACUGGGAUCCUGCAUGUGGGGUUGCUGCCAUUUCGUAGGGAGCCUCUCUUGAGAAUCCAGGGGGUGACUGUGCUGUCUGGGGGUGAUACUCAGGUAAUGCCUCUGGAAAGGAACACCUUGAUUUCCUGGAGUUUGGCUUAGGAGAAGCAGUUUGCCGCAGCCAGCCUGUGCAGAGGAGAGAGCAGGAAACCAACAGACAGGAGAGAGAAAAGUGUAAAACUCAAAGAUGUGAGUUUCCAGACUGAAAGAGACUACCAAGAAGGAAUUUUCUUUCUAGGAAUAAGAAAAAUCUCACCAAAGCACGGAGAAGAAAUAGACCAUAUGUGGCAACCAGCAGUCAAACUGAAGUUAACACAUGAUGGAGCAAUGCUUUCCAGCUUGAGAAAAAUAUUUCCACUGUACAGUUCGAUACUCAGCCAAACACGAGUCAAAGAGGAGAAAAGACUUGCUAGCUCAGCAGGUGAGGUUUAAAACUGACUUUAAAAAAAAAAAAAAAAAAAAACCUCUCAGGAAAUGGUUGAAGAAUGUGUUUCAGUGAAAUCCAGCAAGGAAGAUGAUGGUGAAGUUAGGGAUCUUGAGUCUGAGCCUGCAGAGAGAUAGGAGACCCCUAGGGGAGCAGUCAAGGGAGACCCCAGGAUGGCAGAGUCCAAAUUAGCUGAGUGGGUGGAGAAAAUCUGCAGUGGGCAAUGAGGUUGGCUCCCUCUAGACCCUGGAUUCCAUUUCUGGCUUUCUUUGCUCUUGUUUGCUGUCUUCUACUUUCCCCGGCAGGUAUGGUAUAGCCUUUCCUCAGAUUGACAGUAACAAGGGCCAAGAUUCAGGUUUGAGUUAUGCGGGUGGAAUGAUACGUGUAGGUCUUCUCUACUCCUGGUAAGACAUGGAAGGGAGCGC
rnacentral:lncRNA from 1 species